AUGAGGACUCAACUUUUGAGAAAAAUCAGCCCACUCUGCUUCUGCGUCUCUUUAGAAGACUUUCUUGCGACCUCUGUCUUCAAGUCCUUCCUUGAAGGACUCCACCAUGUCUGGCCAUCAGCAGGGACAGGUGAGAGAGACACACACAACUUGCUUUUUAAUUUUUAUUUGGUUUUAAAAAAGUCUUUAACUGAGGGAUGUCCCGGUAUUCACUCUCCAUAUUUCUUCAGCCCCAUCUAAGAAUAUCUGCUUCUUGUUCCUCUGUCUUACCUUUAAACAUGCUUUUGAACUGUUCACAUGGGCACAUAUUGCCACCUGUCCAUGUCUUUGCUACCUGUGGCUGAGGUUGCUAUGAGUUCAACAAAACCUGUUUCUUUUUCACCUGGGCUGAUAAUACUUCCUGAACUUUGUAGUUAGAUGUAGCCAUUAGUCUUUGCUAAUCAAACACAGGUCACUUCCAUAUCUGUCUUAUAUAAACCGACCAAAGACAUCUUCCAUCCUCCAUCCUUUUAUGAACAGAGGACCCAGCAGGGAACCUCUGAGGUCCUAAGGGUGGCAGAGCCAUGAGAUGCAGGAGCCUUGUGUUCUGAAGCACUUCCCAGAUGGCCACUAGUGGAACAAUCACACUGCACAGUUGUGUAAAUCCAGCCCUGCAGUAAUUGGGAAGAAAGUCCACAUUCUUGCUGAGCCUCUACUCUAGAGGAAGCGGAUGAAAGAGUUCUGAUGUGUUGAUUACUGUUGACUGACAUUAGUAGGAAUCCAAAAAAGAUACAAGCACCUGUGAGGGUUGGUUGGCUUUCCAGCAGAGCUCAGAGGAAAGAGCCACACCUGGUAAGAAAAGCCACCUGUGAAAGGGUGAGGCUAUACACUGGGCUUGAGCCACAAGGGCCCAGUAAAAUUCUUCGGUGAAACAAAAGAUCUCAGCAAAGGUCAGAUUAGGGGUGUCACCAAAGUCCAUUACUUCAAAUAAAGCUGUCAUUACACUGAGUCAUGGGGCCAAAAAAGCCACAGAACAAAUCGGGCUUGGUGACGAUGUGCAGAAACAAAUGCUGGGUGUGGUUAUCAGAGCAUGGGGAAUCAACUAGAAGCAAAUCCUACUGAAUUUUGAGGAAAGGUUACGGACCAAGAAACUGUAAAUUUAAUUCUUACCCUUUUUUGCCUUUUGGUGCUUAAAACAAGUUUUAGGCCCCCAAACUCACCUGAGCAGAAGGAACCAGUACUGUUGGGCUGGUGCAAAAGUAAUUACUUUGAAUGGAGAAGACUGCAAUUACUUUUGCACCAACCUAAUAUCUGUACAGUCUUGGCAAGAACAUACCAUCUCACUUAGAUGUGGCCAUGGGGAAUAAGAAACAGAGGACGUAAAACAAGAGAGAGGGAGAGAUUUUUCCCAACCCAGAGAGCAGAGUCAGGGCCUUAGCAAGUCAUCUUGCUCC
rnacentral:lncRNA from 1 species